rnacentral:piRNA from 1 species
UGAGGAAGGCACAGGAAAUGCUCACAGGA